CAGUCGCCACGGUAAUACGGAGGAUCCAAGCGUUAUCCGGAAUCAUUGGGUUUAAAGGGUCCGUAGGCGGUCUUGUAAGUCAGUGGUGAAAGCCCAUCGCUCAACGGUGGAACGGCCAUUGAUACUGCAGGACUUGAAUUAUUGGGAAGUAACUAGAAUAUGUAGUGUAGCGGUGAAAUGCUUAGAGAUUACAUGGAAUACCAAUUGCGAAGGCAGGUUACUACCAAUUGAUUGACGCUGAUGGACGAAAGCGUGGGUAGCGAACAGGAUUAGAGACCCCUGUAGUCCCUGUCUCUUAUAA
rnacentral:rRNA from 1 species